rnacentral:rRNA from 1 species
UAACAAGGAUUCCCCUAGUAACUGCGAGUGAAGCGGGAUGAGCUCAAAUUUGAAAUCUGGCGGUUCCGCCGUCCGAGUUGUAAUCUGGAGAAGCGUUUUCCGUGCCGGACCGUGUACAAGUCCCUUGGAACAGGGCGUCAUAGAGGGUGAGAAUCCCGUCUUUGACACGGACUCCCGGUGCUCUGCGAUGCGCUCUCGAAGAGUCGAGUUGUUUGGGAAUGCAGCUCAAAAUGGGUGGUAAAUUCCAUCUAAAGCUAAAUAUUGGCGAGAGACCGAUAGCGAACAAGUACCGUGAGGGAAAGAUGAAAAGCACUUUGGAAAGAGAGUAAAACAGUACGUGAAAUUGUUGAAAGGGAAACGCUUGAAGUCAGUCGCGUCUUCUGGGACUCAGCCUUGCUCUGCUUGGUGCAUUUCCCAGUUUGACGGGUCAGCAUCGGCUCUGGGGGGCGGACAAAGGCGCGGGGAAGGUGGCAGCUCCGGCUGCGUUAUAGCCCCGCGUUACGCGUCCCCCGGGACCGAGGAAUCCGGCGCUCGCGCCUGGGAUGCUGGCGUAAUGGCUUUAAACGACCCGUCUUGAAACACGGACCA